rnacentral:piRNA from 1 species
UGUAGUAGCAUGAUCACGGCUCACUGUAGC